rnacentral:rRNA from 1 species
UCCUACGGGAGGCAGCAGUGGGGAAUAUUGCGCAAUGGGGGAAACCCUGACGCAGCAACGCCGCGUGAGUGAUGAAGGUCUUCGGAUUGUAAAACUCUGUCUUUGGGGACGAUAAUGACGGUACCCAAGGAGGAAGCCACGGCUAACUACGUGCCAGCAGCCGCGGUAA